rnacentral:SRP_RNA from 1 species
GCCGGGCACGGUGGCGCGCGCCUGUAAUCCCAGCUACUGGGGAGGCUGAGGCUGGAGAAUCACUUGAGCUCAUGAGUUCUGGGCUGCAGUGCGCUAUGCCGAUCGGGUGUCCGCACUAAGUUCGGCAUUAAUAUGGUGACCUCCCGGGAGCAGGGGACCACCAGGUUGCCUAAGGAGGGGUGAACCAGCCCAGGUCAGAAACGGAGCAGGUCAAAACUCCCGUGCUGAUCAGUAGUGGGAUCGCGCCUGUGAAUAGCCACUGUACUCCAGCCUGGGCAACAUAGCGAGACCCUGUCUCU